GAUCAGCAUGCCGCGGUGAAUUCGUUCCCGGGCCUUGUACACACCGCCCGUCACACCAUGGGAGUUGGCAACACCCGAAGCCGGUGAGGUAACCGUAAGGAGCCAGCCGUCUAAGGUGGGGUCGAUGACUGGGGUGAAGUCGUAACAAGGUAGCCGUAUCGGAAGGUGCGGCUGGAUCACCUCCUUUCU
rnacentral:rRNA from 1 species